AGCACGGCUGCCCUGGGAGAGUGUCCGGGCAGCAGCCUCACCCCCUGCCCGUGUGUCGCCGGCUGCCGGAGAGGUCCAGAAGCAGCUUACAAAAGAAAGCCCAAGGAAGCUGGGUUUUGCUGUGUCAUCAGAAACUCGUGUUCUACUGCCAAAUUCUGAUUUCAGUUCCAGCGAGAGGUCUGUAGCAACUCCACAGGGUCCAGCAGACAGACGCACAGGUUGUUGCUCUGGGCCUCCCUCGUACAUAUUCAACCUCGUACAGAAUUCAACCAUUCCCUCUCCAGUUGAACAGAGCUUGAAGGAUCUCCUUCUCCAGCACAGGGUCGUAGAAGUUAUCAUAACUUCACCUUUCUUCCAGCUUCCACUUCUGAACAAAUCAGUUGUCUAUACAGAUUGGCUCUUUAUGUUAAUCUCUACACAGUUCCACGAGGGCUUUCUAUGCUUCCUGUAAAAAUACACGUGUCUGCUGUGAUUUGGCUGGGGGUGUUUUCUGUAACACUGCUUCUGGUAAGAGUGAGAGCUCUGCAAAACAUGUUUACUUCAGUUUUCAUAUGUGCAUAUGAUGAUACAUUCUGACCUUUUUCUUUCCCUCUUUGCGCAAAAUCUUUGGUUCAAUUGUUGAUGGUCUCCACUGUAUAUCUUAUUAGAUUAUAUUUUUAUCAAACACUGAAUUGGGGGUUUUCUGCUUUUGCAAGACAUGGUAAAUUUUUGCAAGGUCUGUUGUUACAACUUCUUCUGUGGGUUUGUGGUCUGCAACAUUUUUUGUUUCCUGGACAUGUUAUCCAAGCUAGCAAACUUGAUGCUUUGCCAAAUCCCUUUCAUUUUAGGUUCAUCAGAUGAUAGAAUAGCUUUAUGAACAUGCGGGACUCCCCAGGUUAAACAGCAUUUCCAUAUUGCAGAGUUCAGACUGUUUACAUCAAUUUGCUGUUGCACCCUUCCACUUCCAAAUGUAAUGAUAUUUAUGGGUUUUUUUUUGGCUCAAAACCCACAGGGAAGUCUUGUCUCAUGUGCUGCACAAACAGAACAAAUGCUGCUUGCACUUAACCGUACCAAGCAAACGCAGGCUUGGGCCAGACAGAAUACACCGACUCUUAUCUGGCAAAACCUUCACAUGACUUACACUUUCUGUAACAUGGGCUCAGUCCUGCAAUGCAUUAGCCAAGGCCCCCAGUUAGCUAAAUUAUUAUGUAUAGAUCUGCUUUAAACAGGAGUCACCCCCAUGACUUUAGCAAUUAAAGAAGAAAAUAACAUUUUUAACAGUGAGGUGUCUCCCACUGAACAAGAUGGGGUUUUUUUUCCUGUAAAAGCCAGUGGUAAGGCUCAGAUGAGCAAACACAUUUGCUUUGUCCAAUGAUGAACUUAAAGUGGUUACUUUUGAAACCAAACCUGCUCCCUGUCCUACUUGGAUCCCUUAGCAGAUGCAGAGUUUUCUGCUAAGCUGGGUUAUUGAGGAAAAGAGUGGUUUGGGGAUGGCACUUUUGCUGCAAAUACAAAAUUGCUUUAAUAUUUUGUAUUUAAUUUAAUUUACUUUUCCUAAAUACAAAAUAUACACCAGAAUUAAACUUGACCUGUAAUCAAUAGCAGUGUUGAAUUGGUACUUUCAGAUUCACUCUUUGCUGAAGUCACCCAGGACGAUUAUAACAGUUGUGUAAAUCAAUCAGUAACAGUUUAUUAACACUUAGUUUCUGCUGUUGCUUUACCUUCUGGUAAAAGUGUCUGGAUUUGUGAAGCCUGCUAGAACUGUGCACCCUUUUUUCAAAGGGAAAGGAGUUUAUCUUGAUUGUCUCAUAACAAAACAAGACAAGCUCUGUCUUUCCAAGAUUUAAAAAACCCCAACAAAGUUGCUUGAAAAGACAAAUUGUGGGAAAAUGCCUCAAGGUUAUUAUUUUGGAAAAUCAUGUGAAAAAUCAGUGUUUUACAAUCGAAAGAGCUCAGUGCUUUAAGAGAAAAAAAAGUUUGUUUUGGUUUCCCCCCUCCCCUGAAAAAUACAUUAUCUACGUCAUAACAACACAGUAAGUGACCUUUAAAGUACUUCAGAUGUAUUUUUGGUUCAGCUCUGUUGAGUUCUUGGUAUAUUGCCAGUUUCAUUAUUUUGUUUAGAAAGUCCCUUUUCUUCAUUGUUUAAGUGGGUAUUUCACAUCCUAUCCCUGGACAGAAAGUUUGUAGGAAAUGUGUUCAUAAAUAAUGGAAAUUAUCAAGGACUGCUGUAAAACAUGGGGACAGUUUUAUCUGGUUCAUUUAAAGGCAUGAGAAGUUUAACACUAAAGAAUCUCUUCCUGCUUUUCUCCGGCAGCAAGCCUGAAUAAGGUUCAGGACUGAAGCCUGAGGGUCACCAGGGGCUUAGGGAACAGUUACCUAAAGGAGUAUUUCACUUCAAGGUAAAGCAAACACCAGUGACAAACACCACAGAACUGGGUUCAUCUAAUCUUGAAACUGGUUACAUCUGUAAAUGCAUUUUUUUGUUGAAUAAAAUUCUUUCUGAUCAUCUGUUCAA